AGUGUCUUCAGUAAGCAAGAAAUUUCUAGUUGUCUUCAGAGGAAAUAGAGAAGAAACACGAGCCAUUUCUCUCCGCUUUAUGUGGGCUUUGGGGGUCCUUGACCAGGAGCAAAGGGUUAUUUGUGCAGCCUUGACUGUGACUCACCAGCCCACAUGCCAAUGUGAAAUUAUGUGUCUUUGUUGAGUCCCUGAGGUUCCCAGGGCAGAGAGGUGGGAAGGAAGGGGGGGUGGAUCACCCUUAGAAGCCGGAGGACAUCUGUGGGCCACCCCAGAGAAGUGAGGGCACAUGAAGGCUGGGAGACGCCUGGAUCCUUCCAGGGCCGGAAGAAAACAGCCCGUCCCGGGCUCUGACUCAGCAAUGGUCACACGGUCCGCGGCCCCGGGGCAUGGCCAGGGCUGCUGACCUCGGGACCCUCAGACCUCAAGGCAGGCAGUACCCACCCCAGGGUCCCGUAAGUCACCUAGAUGCGGGGACAGGGUUGCCGAGGGAGCACUGCUCUGCCCGCUGACCUCAGCUGGCUGGAGUCCGGACAUGACUCUUGACUGGAAGCGUUCUUCCCUGCACUUCAUGCCAUGGGCCAGACUUGGCAAUGGCAGAGGAGCCCAGCCCUGUGGAAGUUCUGGUUUCCAUUCUAGGUCAAUGCACCGAGACCUCAGUGGCAGACGACCGGGAGACAUGCGAGUCGUGGCCGGAGAGGGACCAGAGCGGGCAGUUUAGCCCCCAGAGUGGCUGGAGACGGAGCAGGAAGCACACCGAUGUGCAGAGCUGGCAGGGAGCCUGACCUGCCUUCCAGGGACUUCCAGAGGGCGGGCUCUGGAGCAGCUUAGAGACCAGGCACGGCCACCCCCCGGGCCACCUUCGAGCCCUCCCCAGGGACCCCACUGAGCAGCUGUCCUGUGGAGCCUUCCUGCAGCCCCAUCGGUCAGACCAGCCCAGUGCACACCAGGCACUUCCAGUCCCACAGCAAAGGCGAGGUCGGGGUUCGCUGGGACUGUGCUGCCACGGGCUUCCUCCUUCCCUGCUGGUCCACGUGCUCGGGCACCACAGAGCCUGAGAAGCCUCAGGGCAGGGGCGCCUGGCGGGGGCAGCCGGUGAAGCGCCCCACUUCA